rnacentral:rRNA from 1 species
GAUUUCUGGCUUGAAACAUUUUGCCGGCCGCGGUUUCGCGUGUGAGUGCUUGAUGUUCUGGCCAUCCUUCCAAUCGCUGUGUACCUUUCUUCAUUGAUUGGUGCAUGGUAUUGGAUCUUUUACUUUGAAAAAAUUAGAGUGUUUCAAGCAGGCUUUAUGCUAUGAAUACAUUAGCAUGGAAUAAUAAUUUAGGACUUCGGUUCUAUUUUGUUGGUUUCUAGGACUGAAGUAAUGAUUGAUAGGGAUAGUUGGGGGUGCUAGUAUUCAGCGGCCAGAGGUGAAAUUCUCGGAUUCGCUGAAGACUAACUUAUGCGAAAGCAUU